CCUCUCAUUUUGGCAUGCCUGUGCCUAGAAUCUCGGCAGAGCAUAAAUGCUUGUGGGAGGUAGAUUAAAAAGAUCUGUGAACUAAUGCCUUCGGUGUCCACACACAUUAUGUCUGGAUUCCAUCCUCAAAGUUCACUACAAAA